rnacentral:sRNA from 1 species
AUCUACCCGCCUCAGCCUCCCAAAGUGCUGGGAUUACAGGCAUGAGCCACUGUGCCCGGCCCAAAGCGGAUCUUUCAAGGAAGGGUGCUGAUGUAUGGACAGCCGUAUCGUGUUACCUUAGAGCUUGAGCUGCCAGAGUCCCCUGUGAAUCAAGAUUUGGGCAUGUUCUUGGUCACCAUUUCCUGCUACACCAGAGGUGGCCGAAUCAUCUCCACUUCUUCACGUUCGGUGAUGCUACAUUACCGCUCAGACCUGCUCCAGAUGCUGGACACGCUGGUCUUCUCUAGCCUUCUGCUGUUUGGCUUUGCAGAGCAGAAGCAGCUGCUGGAGGUGGAACUCUACGCAGACUAUAGAGAGAACUCGUAUGUGCCGACCACUGGAGCGAUCAUUGAGAUCCACAGCAAGCGCAUCCAGCUGUAUGGAGCCUACCUCCGCAUCCACGCACACUUCACUGGGCUCAGAUACCUGCUAUACAACUUCCCGAUGACCUG